CACCCACCUCGGCCUCCCAAAGUGCUGGGAUUACAGGUGUGAGCCACCUUGUGCCCCACCUAAAAGUUUUUUUUAAGGGUAAUGUUGAAAGACUUGGCAAAUAGAAAUCAUAUCAUAACAUAUUAACCAGAAAAAUAAGGCUCAGCAGCAGACUAAGGAAAAUAUACACAGUAUAUAUUAUAGAUGAAACAUAGAUAUCUUUUGUUAUUAUCAAUAAAAAUACCCUAAAAGAACUAAUAGGUAUUUCAAUAGACACGAAAGAAAGUGUUUAAUUUUGUUUCCAAAAAGUACAAAUUAGAAAAACAUUAGAAGGAGAAAGAGAAAUGUUAAUAUCUAAUUCAGGUGCAAGUACAGUAAAAGCAGUUCUAACAUAUUGCUGGAGUCCUUAUAGAUUGGUAUAUAGCCCUUUUGUUAAGAAUUUGGGGCCCUGUGAGGUGGAUCACCUGAGGUCAGGAGGUUGAGACUAGCCUGGGC